CAGGGGAUAAAAGGAGGAUACAGCAUAUAGGAGUCAGAACAAUCUACUUCAUAGUACAAUGGUCCUGAAGCUAGGAGAUGACCGCACCACCAACUUGCAGGCAGUUGCAUAGAAGAGGGAUAACAGGACUCAUUGAAGCAUUCAUCUUCUGGACCGUUGUGAUCUUUUGGACAAGUCUCCAAUAUAUGAAUGGCAGUUUGCCUUCUGAAUCUUUUCUCCCUGCCCAUCUCUGUAGUCAUGAACAAGGAAGCAAUGAGGACCUGGAAUGGAGGAGCAUGGCUCUCAGAUGCUUUGCUGGUGGAUCAAGAGAU